CUCCUGAUUACAAGAAAGACCUUUAUUCCAACAGGUGAAGUUGAAGAGUAUUCAUAAGUCUCACUGCAAUUUUUAAACUUUUUUCCAAAGGCAAGUUUUUACCACCUUCUAAUUUACAACAAAUGCUAUCCAUAUUGGGAUGACUCCUCAAACUCUAUCUUCAACUCAGGUGACUGUUGAGAUUAAGUUCCAUUCAUUCAACAGCCAACUGCACAUUCUAUGCUCAACAUAACCAUGACUAAACUCAUCAGCCUCCACAUCAAACCUGGUCUUCUUCCUUUCUUCAUGUGGUCUUGACUGAUUUCCUCUGCACAAGCCAGAAUCUAUCUAGCCCAUUAAGUGAAGGCUCUAUGCCAUCCACAGGGCUGACUGCCUUUUAAACACAGAACAUCCGUCUUCCCUACCAUUGUGUGCCUAGCUCUGUGUCUAACUCCAGGAACGCCUAAAGCAAACUUACUUCACCAUUUCCACAUUCCACUACCACAGACCCCAGGAUCUGGACCACCAGGCGUAUCUUCCUUGGAGAGUCGGCUUCUCAUAGGAGAGUCCUUCUCAUCCUUGCAGUGCCUGGCACAAGCAGCUCCAAGGAUGACAGCACCACUGCAGAUUAUACGAGAUGAGUGUCAGCCAUCACCGCUCACCAUGGGCCUGACUUGCCCGGCCUCCUUGAACCGAUGAGGGUGGUUCAAGCUUCAUUCUAGCUUCAGGAAUUCAAGGUGCAAUGAAGCCACACACUCGAGCAAUUUAAUGUGCUCCAGACUCAGCUGGAGUUGCCUGGACUCCUCAUUCUCCAGACUACCAACCACUGAAUCACUUCACAGUUUCUUGGAAAACCAGGGCAACCAACAUACUGUUACAGCCUCCUGAGAUGUUCUUCUCACUGAGACCUGACCAUCUCAGAAUCCCCAGGAAACAAAUACAGUUCUGUAGCAGAUUUUACUGAACAUUGAAGAACUGGUACAAGGAGAGGUUAGAGGCCAUCAGAGGUGAAUGGAGCACCAUGCUUUCUACCAAGUCUUGCACCUGAAGGAAAUCAUUCAGCUCCUCCUUCUGACAUUCACUUCAGGUCAAAACAAUAAAAACACAUUAGGCAUCAUGAGGUACCAGUAGUAAUCCUGGAUGAAGAAUCAGAAGUCCUAGGUCUGAUUUCCAGCUCUGCAAUAUAUUUUCUGUGUGAUUUUCGGGCAAAUUACUUAACCUCUUAAGAUCUGUUUCCUUGCCUCUAAAUAAAAUGGAGAUAAUAAUACCA
rnacentral:lncRNA from 1 species